rnacentral:rRNA from 1 species
GAUGAACGCUGGCGGCGUGCCUAAUACAUGCAAGUCGAGCGAACAGAUGAGGAGCUUGCUUCUCUGACGUUAGCGGCGGACGGGUGAGUAACACGUGGAUAACCGACCUAUAAGACUGGGAUAACUUCGGGAAACCGGAGCUAAUACCGGAUAAUAUAUUGAACCGCAUGGUUCAAUAGUGAAAGACGGUUUUGCUGUCACUUAUAGAGGUAUCCGCGCCGCAUUAGCUAGUUGGUAAGGUAACGGCCUACCAAGGCAACGAUGCGUAGCCGACCUGAGAGGGUGAUCGGCCACACUGGAACUGAGACACGGUCCAGACUCCUACGGGAGGCAGCAGUAGGGAAUCUUCCGCAAUGGGCGAAAGCCUGACGGAGCAACGCCGCGUGAGUGAUGAAGGUCUUCGGAUCGUAAAACUCUGUUAUUAGGGAAGAACAAAUGUGUAAGUAACUAUGCACGUCUUGACGGUACCUAAUCAGAAAGCCCCGGCUAACUACGUG